rnacentral:rRNA from 1 species
AGGACUAACGCUGGCGGCGUGCCUAACACAUGCAAGUCGAACGAGAGUAGCAAUACUCUAGUGGCAGACGGGUGAGUAACACGUGGUCAACCUACCUUUAAGUGGGGGAUAACUAGCCGAAAGGUUAGCUAAUACCGCAUACGAUCUUCGCGUGGCAUCACAUGAAGAUGAAAGGAGCAAUCCGCUGAAAGACGGGACCGCGUCCCAUUAGCCAGUUGGUGGGGUAACGGCCUACCAAAGCAACGAUGGGUAGCUGGCUUGAGAGAGCGACCAGCCACACUGGGACUGAGACACGGCCCAGACUCCUACGGGAGGCAGCAGUGAGGAAUUUUCCGCAAUGGGCGAAAGCCUGACGGAGCGACGCCGCGUGUGGGAUGAAGGCCUCGGGUCGUAAACCACUGUCGAAGGGGAGAGUAUUGACGGUACCUUGGAGGAAGCCCGGCUAACUACGCGCUAGCAGCCGC